CCUACGGGAGGCUGCAGUGAGGAAUAUUGGUCAAUGGACGAAAGUCUGAACCAGCCAAGCCGCGUGAAGGACGAAGGUGCUAAGCAUUGUAAACUUCUUUUGUCAAGGGACAAAAUGAUGCUCGUGAGUCUGUCUGUGUGUACUGUAUGAAAAAGGAUCGGCUAACUACGUGCCAGCAGCCGCGGUAAUACGGAGGAUGCGAGCGUUAUCCGGGUUUAUUGGGUUUAAAGGGUGCGUAGGUGGGUUUGUAAGUCAGUUGUGAAAGGCGGGGGCGCAACCGGCGCGGUGCAGUUGAAACUGGCAGUCUUGAGUUGAGUAGAGGUGUGCGGAAUGCGUAGUGUAGCGGUGAAAUGCUUAGAUA
rnacentral:rRNA from 1 species